AGAGUUUGAUCAUGGCUCAGAAUCAACGCUGGCGGCGUGCCUAACACAUGCAAGUCGAACGAGAAAGUGGAGCAAUCCAUGAGUACAGUGGCGACCGGGUGAGUAACACGUGACUACCUGCCCUUGAGUGGGGGAUAACCUCGGGAAACCGGGGCUAAUACCGCAUAACAUCGCAAGAUCAAAGGAGCAAUCCGCUGAAGGAGGGGGUCGCGGCUGAUUAGCUAGUUGGUGAGGUAACGGCUCACCAAGGCGAAGAUCAGUAGCCGGCCUGAGAGGGCGCACGGCCACACUGGAACUGAAACACGGUCCAGACUCCUACGGGAGGCAGCAGUGGGGAAUUUUGCGCAAUGGGGGAAACCCUGACGCAGCAACGCCGCGUGGAGGAUGAAGUCCCUUGGGAUGUAAACUCCUUUCGAUCGGGACGAUUAUGACGGUACCGGAAGAAGAAGCACCGGCUAACUCUGUGCCAGCAGCCGCGGUAAUACAGAGGGUGCAAGCGUUGUUCGGAAUUAUUGGGCGUAAAGGGCGCGUAGGCGGUGCGGUAAGACUGUGGUGAAAUCUCCGGGCUCAACUCGGAAAUUGCCGCGGUGACUGCCGUGCUCGAGUGUGGGAGAGGUGAGUGGAAUUCCCGGUGUAGCGGUGAAAUGCGUAGAUAUCGGGAGGAACACCUGUGGCGAAAGCGGCUCACUGGACCACAACUGACGCUGAGGCGCGAAAGCUAGGGGAGCAAACAGGAUUAGAUACCCUGGUAGUCCUAGCCCUAAACGAUGAUUGCUUGGUGUGUCGGGUACCCAAUCCCGACGUGCCGCAGCUAACGCGAUAAGCAAUCCGCCUGGGGAGUACGGUCGCAAGACUGAAACUCAAAGGAAUUGACGGGGCCCGCACAAGCGUGGAGCAUGUGGUUCAAUUCGACGCAACGCGAAGAACCUUACCUGGGCUCGAAAUGGAGUGGACCGGGGGUGGAAACAUCC
rnacentral:rRNA from 1 species